rnacentral:rRNA from 1 species
UACGAAGGGGGCUAGCGUUGUUCGGAAUUACUGGGCGUAAAGCGCACGUAGGCGGAUCGAUCAGUCAGGGGUGAAAUCCCAGGGCUCAACCCUGGAACUGCCUUUGAUACUGUCGAUCUGGAGUAUGGAAGAGGUGAGUGGAAUUCCGAGUGUAGAGGUGAAAUUCGUAGAUAUUCGCAAGAACACCAGUGGCGAAGGCGGCUCACUGGCCCGAUACUGACGCUGAGGCGCGAGAGCGUGGGGAGCAAACGGGG